CAGUCGCCGCGGGAAUACGAAGGGGGCUAGCGUUGUUCGGAAUUACUGGGCGUAAAGCGCACGUAGGCGGAUCGAUCAGUCAGGGGUGAAAUCCCAGGGCUCAACCCUGGAACUGCCUUUGAUACUGUCGAUCUGGAGUAUGGAAGAGGUGAGCGGAAUUCCGAGUGUAGAGGUGAAAUUCGUAGAUAUUCGGAGGAACACCAGUGGCGAAGGCGGCUCACUGGUCCAUUACUGACGCUGAGGUGCGAAAGCGUGGGGAGCAAACAGGAUUAGAUACCCGCGUAGUCCCUGUCUCUUAUAC
rnacentral:rRNA from 1 species